GGGUAAGUAGAAUUGGUAAGAACCGCCUACGUGGCACACGCAUAUUGGCUUCUUGUUUCUAUUGGUCGUCUCUCUCUUCGUCGGUUUUUUUUGUGUGAGAAAUCUCGUCUUCUCUCCUUCUCCAAAUCCAUCCAUGAAAUCAUCUUGAAGAAUCAAAGCACGGAGAUGUUUCAAGGUAGACACAAUAUGUGACUUCAAUGAAGAAAAGGGAUUACUUUCUGCUUCUGGGUAUCAUCAUUCUCCUCUUCCUCUCUGGGUCUUUAGCUUCAGCUCCUUCAUCAAUUUCACCAGCGAGGCUGGUGAUUUUGACUCGAAUGGUUGAACUUCCAUCUCAAGAAAGGUGGCUACAAGAAAACAGUCAGGAAACUUUUCUUUAGAUAUGAAGGUAUAUGGUUUUCC